rnacentral:rRNA from 1 species
AGCAGCCGCGGUAAUUCCAGCUCCAAUAGCGUAUAUUAAAGUUGUUGCAGUUAAAAAGCUCGUAGUUGAAUUUCGGGAUUAGUACGCUGGUCGUGCCUUCGGUAUGUACUGGUGUUACUGAUUCCUACCUUCUGAAGAACCGUCAUGUCAUUAAUUUGGUGUGGCGGGGAAUCAGGACUGUUACUUUGAAAAAAUUAGAGUGUUUAAAGCAGGCUCGCGCUUGAAUACAUUAGCAUGGAAUAAUGAAAUAGGACGUUCGAUCCUAUUUUGUUGGUUUCUAGGAUUGACGUAAUGAUUAAUAGGGAUAGUUGGGGGCAUUAGUAUUCAAUUGUCAGAGGUGAAAUUCUUGGAUUUAUUGAAGACUAACUACUGCGAAAGCAUUUGCCAAGGAUGUUUUCAUUAAUCAAGAACGAAAGUUAGGGGAUCGAAGACGAUCAGAUACCGUCGUAGUCUUAACCAUAAACUAUGCCGACUAGGGAUCGGAUGAUGUUAAUUUUUAAUGACUCAUUCGGCGCCUUAA